AUCAAUAAGCGGAGGAAAAGAAACCAACAGGGAUUGCCCUAGUAACGGCGAGUGAAGCGGCAACAGCUCAAAUUUGAAAUCUGGCGUAAGCCCGAGUUGUAAUUUGUAGAGGAUGCUUCUGGGUAGCGGCCGGUCUAAGUUCCUUGGAACAGGACGUCAUAGAGGGUGAGAAUCCCGUAUGUGACUGGCUUGCACCCUCCACGUAGCUCCUUCGACGAGUCGAGUUGUUUGGGAAUGCAGCUCUAAAUGGGAGGUAAAUUUCUUCUAAAGCUAAAUACCGGCCAGAGACCGAUAGCGCACAAGUAGAGUGAUCGAAAGAUGAAAAGCACUUUGGAAAGAGAGUUAAAAAGCACGUGAAAUUGUUGAAAGGGAAGCGCCCGCAACCAGACUUUGCGGCGGUGUUCGGCUGGUCUUCUGACCGGUUUACUCGCCGCCGUGAGGCCAUCAUCGUCUGGGACCGCUGGAUAAGACCUGAGGAAUGUAGCUCCCUUCGGGGUGUGUUAUAGCCUCUGGUGAUGCAGCGCGUCUCGGGCGAGGUCCGCGCUUCGGCAAGGAUGAUGGCGUAAUGGUUGUCGGCGGCCCGUCUUGAAACACGGACCAAGGAGUCUAACAUCUAUGCGAGUGUUCGGGUGUCAAACCCCUACGCGUAAUGAAAGUGAACGGAGGUGGGAACUUUUUGUGCACCAUCGACCGAUCCUGAUGUCCUCGGAUGGAUUUGAGUAAGAGCAUAGCUGUUGGGACCCGAAAGAUGGUGAACUAUGCCUGAAUAGGGUGAAGCCAGAGGAAACUCUGGUGGAGGCUCGCAGCGGUUCUGACGUGCAAAUCGAUCGUCAAAUUUGGGUAUAGGGGCGAAAGACUAAU
rnacentral:rRNA from 1 species